CUUCAGGGCUUCUUGUUGAUACUACUAUAGAUUUGUGGGCACUUAAACCCACACAUGUGCAAGUUCAAAGUGCAUGCAAAUUAAUGCCCACAUGGAUGAACUUCAGCUAAUGCAAGAGAAGACCAUCUGAAUAAAUCAUCCUCCCUUUGUGUUCCCCAGGAAUACUCAAGUUUGUUCAAAAGUGUAGUCCAGUGAACUGAACAGCUAACUGAUUGAAGCAAGUUCAAUUGUCCUUGCCCUGGUUCUUCCUCCUUCCCUGCAUCACUCUUCUUGCCCUUCUCACCUGUGCCCUGGGAUUACUCUCUGAAAAUAUCACAUAAGCUCUCUGCCUCCAUUUCUGGGUAGCACAAGCUAAGGCACAAUUUGGAAAAGAAGUGCAAAAUCCUCAUAUGAGUAUGUGUUUGGCAUGCUAAAGAACAGCAAGAAGUCCAUUAUAGUAAGAGCAAAUGAAGCAAGGGGAAAAUAUGAUGGAAGUCUGUCCAGAAGCAAUGGAGGACCCACCAUGUAGGCCUUGUAGACCUUAAAAGAACUUUGUCUUUGGUUCUAUUUGAGAUAAGAAGUUGUUGACAUCAUCUGCAUUAUGAUUUAACAGGAUGACUCUGGGUACUGUGUUAACAAUAGACUGAAGGGGACAAGAGUAGAAAUAGAUAACCAGUUAGGAGUCCACUGUAGCAAUUCUGGUAACAAAUGAUGACUUGGACCAGCAACUGCAGAAGUGAAAAGAUGUGGUAGAUUCUGGUUAUAUUGUGAGGGUAAAUCUAUUCAAACUUUUUUAUGGAGUGAGAAGGAAAGAAGCAUGGAUGACUCUAAGGAAAAAUUGAUUUGAUGUAAGCUAAAAGGAGGAAGGAAAAAGAAAAGCAGAUACACAGAUGUUUUGCCCUUUUGGAAACUGAAGAUAAAACAGACAAAAAAAGAAUUUUAAAAUAUAAAUAUUUCUUCAUUAACAUGUUAACCUAGCAAAACUGACAUAAGAAUGGCCACCUUGAAUUUCACAAAAUGUUGCCACAGAGAAAUACUAAAAACGGAAUGAUUAUGACUGUUUUUCAUUUUAAUUAAAGCUGAAAUGAAAAUACACA